rnacentral:lncRNA from 10 species
GGAAUUGUGACUAGGGAUUGCGAAUGCAGCCUUAGGACAUAGUUACACUCAGCUGUGUGGUGGUCCCAGUAUUUCAUUCUGUGGCACCUUGACUGGACAUAGUGGCAUUACAUGUAGGAGGCAAAUUCUCUCCAACAUGAGGUAAAGAAAGCAGGAAACUGUGACUAAAUGAAGAUCACAGAGCCAGUUGAUCAGUGGGGAAGCUGCAUCUGAAAUCCAGGACUUCUAGAUCCUGGGUCAACUGGAGGGGUCAUGCAUUCUGGAAAAUAAUGCAGAGUGGUACAGGCUGAAGCGGAGCGGAGAGGACACUGUUUCAAGAUUCCUGCGCCAGCUCCUUCGUUGUUAUAGAAGUUGGACUAAAUAAAAGGGUAAUCACAAGCGUACAGAUAACAGGCAGGCAGGAAUGUGAAAAUCAGAGAGAAGAGAGAUGUGCACCAGAAGCUGGAGUAAUGUGCUUUGAAGAUGGAGGAAGGGACCAUAAAUCAAGGAAUGCAGACAGCCUGUAGAAGCUGGGAAAGGCAAGGAUGUGGAUUCACUCGAGUCUCUAGAAGAAACGCAACCCCGCCAACACCUUGAUUUGAGGACGUCUGACCUUCAGAAUGAGAAAAUGAUACAUUUGUGUUGUAAGCCACCCAGUUUGUGAAAUAUGUAUCAACAAUUGAAAACUAGUACAUAGUCAAAUACUCAAUCUCUGUUUUUUUUAGCUUAUCAUUUUCAAUCUCUGUCUCCAACCCACAAACCACAUGCAUCAUAAAUAAAUUAAAAUACCAAAA